rnacentral:lncRNA from 1 species
AAAAAAACAAGAAUGUGUCCAUAGUACACGGAUGCUCCACUCGCACUAUCAUUUUCUAUGUUCAGUGGACCCUGAAAAUUGGGGUUAAACCUUUAAUUUGGAAUUACAAUUAGAAAAAUCAUAUCAUAGGGAACAUGUGUACUAAGUUUCAAGUUGAUGUAACUUUAACUUCAUCAAAAACUACCUUGACCAAAAACUUUAACCUGAACUUCGUUCUAUCAUUUUCUAUGUUCAGUGGACCACGAAAUUGGGGUCAAAACUAUAAUUUGGCAUUAAAAUUAGAAAGAUCAUAUCAUGGGGAACAUGUGUACUAAGUUUCAAGUUGAUUGGACUUCAACUUCUUCAAAAACUACCUUGACCAAAAACUUCAACCUGAAGCGAACGGACGCACAGACGGACGGACGAACGAACGAACGGAGGCACAGACCAGAAAACAUAAUGCCCCUCUACUAUCGUAGGUG